rnacentral:rRNA from 1 species
GUAAGCUACUAAGAGCGAAUGGUGGAUGCCUUGACUGGUAAAGGCGAUGAAGGACGUACUAGACUGCGAUAAGCUACGGGGAGCUGUCAAGAAGCUUUGAUCCGUAGAUUUCCGAAUGGGGCAACCCAAUGUAUAGAGAUAUACAUUACCUAUAUAGGAGCGAACGAGGGGAAUUGAAACAUCUUAGUACCCUCAGGAAAAGAAAUCAAUAGAGAUUGCGUCAGUAGCGGCGAGCGAAAGCGUAAGAGGGCAAACCCAGUGCUUGCACUGGGGGUUGUAGGACUGCAAUGUGCAAGAGGUGAGUUUAGCAGAACAUUCUGGAAAGUAUAGCCAUAGAGGGUGAUAGUCCCGUAUGCGAAAAACAAACCUUAGCUAGCAGUAUCCUGAGUAGGGCGGGACACGAGAAAUCCUGUCUGAAGCUGGGUCGACCACGAUCCAACCCUAAAUACUAAUACCAGAUCGAUAGUGCACAAGUACCGUGAGGGAAAGGUGAAAAGAACUGAGGUGAUCAGAGUGAAAUAGAACCUGAAACCAUUUGCUUACAAUCAUUCAGAGCACUAUGUAGCAAUACAGUGUGAUGGACUGCCUUUUGCAUAAUGAGCCUGCGAGUUGUGGUGUCUGGCAAGGUUAAGCAAACGCGAAGCCGUAGCGAAAGCGAGUCUGAAUAGGGCGCUUAGUCAGAUGCUGCAGACCCGAAACGAAGUGAUCUAUCCAUGAGCAAGUUGAAGCUAGUGUAAGAACUAGUGGAGGACUGAACCCAUAGGCGUUGAAAAGCCCCGGGAUGACUUGUGGAUAGGGGUGAAAGGCCAAUCAAACUUCGUGAUAGCUGGUUCUCUCCGAAAUAUAUUUAGGUAUAGCGUUGUGUCGUAAUAUAAGGGGGUAGAGCACUGAAUGGGCUAGGGCAUACACCAAUGUACCAAACCCUAUCAAACUCCGAAUACCUUAUAUGUAAUCACAGCAGUCAGGCGGCGAGUGAUAAAAUCCGUCGUCAAGAGGGAAACAACCCAGACUACCAGCUAAGGUCCCUAAAUCUUACUUAAGUGGAAAACGAUGUGAAGUUACUUAAACAACCAGGAGGUUGGCUUAGAAGCAGCCAUCCUUUAAAGAAAGCGUAAUAGCUCACUGGUCUAGUGAUUUUGCGCGGAAAAUAUAACGGGGCUAAAGUAAGUACCGAAGCUGUAGACUUGAUUUUAUCAAGUGGUAGGAGAGCGUUCUAUUUGCGCCGAAGGUAUACCGGUAAGGAGUGCUGGAGCGAAUAGAAGUGAGCAUGCAGGCAUGAGUAGCGAUAAUUAAUGUGAGAAUCAUUAACGCCGUAAACCCAAGGUUUCCUACGCGAUGCUCGUCAUCGUAGGGUUAGUCGGGUCCUAAGUCGAGUCCGAAAGGGGUAGACGAUGGCAAAUUGGUUAAUAUUCCAAUACCAACAUUAGUGUGCGAUGGAAGGACGCUUAGGGCUAAGGGGGCUAGCGGAUGGAAGUGCUAGUCUAAGGUCGUAGGAGGUUAUACAGGCAAAUCCGUAUAACAAUACUCCGAGAACUGAAAGGCUUUUUGAAGUCUUCGGAUGGAUAGAAGAACCCCUGAUGCCGUCGAGCCAAGAAAAGUUUCUAAGUUUAGCUAAUGUUGCCCGUACCGUAAACCGACACAGGUGGGUGGGAUGAGUAUUCUAAGGCGCGUGGAAGAACUCUCUUUAAGGAACUCUGCAAAAUAGCACCGUAUCUUCGGUAUAAGGUGUGGUUCGCUUCGUAUUAGGAUUUACUCCGAAAGCGAAGAAACUUACAACAAAGAGUCCCUCCCGACUGUUUACCAAAAACACAGCACUCUGCUAACUCGUAAGAGGAUGUAUAGGGUGUGACGCCUGCCCGGUGCUCGAAGGUUAAUUGAUGGGGUUAGCAUUAGCGAAGCUCUUGAUCGAAGCCCGAGUAAACGGCGGCCGUAACUAUAACGGUCCUAAGGUAGCGAAAUUCCUUGUCGGUUAAAUACCGACCUGCAUGAAUGGCGUAACGAGAUGGGAGCUGUCUCAAAGAGGGAUCCAGUGAAAUUGUAGUGGAGGUGAAAAUUCCUCCUACCCGCGGCAAGACGGAGAGACCCCGUGGACCUUUACUACAGCUUGACACUGCUAUUUGGAUAAGAAUGUGCAGGAUAGGUGGGAGGCUUUGAGUAUAUGACGCCAGUUGUAUAUGAGCCAUUGUUGAGAUACCACUCUUUCUUAUUUGGGUAGCUAACCAGCUUGAGUUAUCCUCAAGUGGGACAAUGUCUGGUGGGUAGUUUGACUGGGGCGGUCGCCUCCCAAAUAAUAACGGAGGCUUACAAAGGUUGGCUCAGAACGGUUGGAAAUCGUUCGUAGAGUAUAAAGGUAUAAGCCAGCUUAACUGCAAGACAUACAAGUCAAGCAGAGACGAAAGUCGGUCUUAGUGAUCCGGUGGUUCUGUGUGGAAGGGCCAUCGCUCAAAGGAUAAAAGGUACCCCGGGGAUAACAGGCUGAUCUCCCCCAAGAGCUCACAUCGACGGGGAGGUUUGGCACCUCGAUGUCGGCUCAUCGCAUCCUGGGGCUGGAGCAGGUCCCAAGGGUAUGGCUGUUCGCCAUUUAAAGCGGUACGCGAGCUGGGUUCAGAACGUCGUGAGACAGUUCGGUCCCUAUCUGCCGUGGGCGUAAGAAGAUUGAAGAGAUUUGACCCUAGUACGAGAGGACCGGGUUGAACAAACCACUGGUGUAGCUGUUGUUCUGCCAAGAGCAUCGCAGCGUAGCUAAGUUUGGAAAGGAUAAACGCUGAAAGCAUCUAAGCGUGAAGCCAACUCUAAGAUGAAUCUUCUCUAAGCUCUCUAGAAGACUACUAGUUUGAUAGGCUGGGUGUGUAAUGGAUGAAAGUCCUUUAGCUGACCAGUACUAAUAGAGCGUUUGGCUUAUCUUUA